rnacentral:rRNA from 1 species
GACUACAUGAAGCUGGAAUCGCUAGUAAUCGCAGAUCAGCAAAGCUGCGGUGAAUACGUUCCCGGGCCUUGUACACACCGCCCGUCACACCACGGGAGUCGGUCGCGCCUGAAGCCGGUGGCCUAUCAGUAAUGGGGGAGCCGUCUAUGGCGAGAUUGGUAACUGGGGUGAAGUCGUAACAAGGUAGC